GAUGAACGCUAGCUACAGGCUUAACACAUGCAAGUCGAGGGGAAACGAUAGAGAAAGCUUGCUUUUUCUAGGCGUCGACCGGCGCACGGGUGAGUAACGCGUAUCCAACCUGCCCACCACUUGGGGAUAACCCUGCGAAAGUAAGACUAAUACCCAAUGAUAUCUCAAGAAGACAUCUGAAUGAGAUUAAAGAUUUAUCGGUGAUGGAUGGGGAUGCGUCUGAUUAGCUUGUUGGCGGGGUAACGGCCCACCAAGGCUACGAUCAGUAGGGGGUCUGAGAGGAAGGUCCCCCACAUUGGAACUGAGACACGGUCCGAACUCCUACGGGAGGCAGCAGUGAGGAAUAUUGGUCAAUGGGCGAGAGCCUGAACCAGCCAAGUAGCGUGCAGGAUGACGGCCCUAUGGGUUGUAAACUGCUUUUAUAAGGGAAUAAAGUGAGUCUCGUGAGACUUUUUGCAUGUACCUUAUGAAUAAGGACCGGCUAAUUCCGUGCCAGCCGCCGCAGUAA
rnacentral:rRNA from 1 species